UACGUAGGGACCGAGCGUUGUCCGGAAUCAUUGGGCGUAAAGAGCGUGUAGGCGGCCCCUUAAGUCCUGCGUGAAAUCCUGCGGCUCAACCGCAGACGGUCGUGGGAAACUGGAGGGCUAGAGUGCGGGAGAGGAGAGUGGAAUUCCCGGUGUAGCGGUGAAAUGCGCAGAUAUCGGGAAGAACACCCGUGGCGAAGGCGGCUCUCUGGAACGCAACUGACGCUGAGACGCGAAAGCGUGGGAGCAAACAGGG
rnacentral:rRNA from 1 species